AGUGAACGCUGGCGGUAGGCCUAACACAUGCAAGUCGAACGGCAGCACAGUAAGAGCUUGCUCUUACGGGUGGCGAGUGGCGGACGGGUGAGGAAUACAUCGGAAUCUACUUUUUCGUGGGGGAUAACGUAGGGAAACUUACGCUAAUACCGCAUACGACCUACGGGUGAAAGCAGGGGAUCUUCGGACCUUGCGCGAUUGAAUGAGCCGAUGUCGGAUUAGCUAGUUGGCGGGGUAAAGGCCCACCAAGGCGACGAUCCGUAGCUGGUCUGAGAGGAUGAUCAGCCACACUGGAACUGAGACACGGUCCAGACUCCUACGGGAGGCAGCAGUGGGGAAUAUUGGACAAUGGGCGCAAGCCUGAUCCAGCCAUACCGCGUGGGUGAAGAAGGCCUUCGGGUUGUAAAGCCCUUUUGUUGGGAAAGAAAAGCAGCAGGUUAAUACCCCGCUGUUCUGACGGUACCCAAAGAACAAGCACCGGCUAAGUUCGUG
rnacentral:rRNA from 1 species